rnacentral:rRNA from 1 species
AGAGUUUGAUCCUGGCUCAGAGUGAACGCUGGCGGCAGGCCUAAUACAUGCAAGUCGAACGGCAGCACAGCAGAGCUUGCUCUGUGGGUGGCGAGUGGCGGACGGGUGAGGAAUACGUGGGAAUCUGCCCAGUCGUGGGGGAUAACGUAGGGAAACUUACGCUAAUACCGCAUGCGCCCUUCGGGGGAAAGCCGGGGACCUUCGGGCCUGGCGCGAUUGGAUGAGCCCACGUCGGAUUAGCUAGUUGGCGGGGUAAAGGCCCACCAAGGCGACGAUCCGUAGCUGGUCUGAGAGGAUGAUCAGCCACACUGGGACUGAGACACGGUCCAGACUCCUACGGGAGGCAGCAGUAGGGAAUAUUGGACAAUGGGCGCAAGCCUGGUCCAGCCAUGCCGCGUGAGUGAAGAAGGCCCUCGGGUUGUAAAGCUCUUUUGUCCGGAAAGAAAAGCGCCGGGUUAAUACCCUGGUGUCCUGACGGUACCGGAAGAAUAAGCACCGGCUAACUUCGUG